AAAUAGAACUUGAAGACCAGUUUCCUCCUGUGAUGAAUACAACCAACUACCGUAAAACAUUAGCCAUGGCUAGAGCCAAACCUCGUGCAUCUCGAAACUCAAACUUAUCGAACAGAAACCUCCUUCAAUCAAUAGACGAGGAGGCUUCUGUUGAUCUAAACGAGGCUAAAAAAGACUUACAGCUGGGGAAAGAAAUAGGGAUGCAGUUUGAAGGUCCUGAUUCGGUAAUGGUUCAGGGCUUUGUGGAGAUGAGGCGUCAAGGAAGGAAGUGAUUCUCUCAAGAAUGUACAAAUUUGGGUUUUUUUUUUUUUUCUUAAAACAAAUUAAAGGUUGUUCCUAGAAUUUUAUCUCCAAAUGUAAAGGGCUUAGGCAGUAAAGGGAUGCAAAGAGGUUAGAAAUUUGGUUAGACAUUAUAAGGCAAAUAUCCUCUUUCUUUUGGAGACUAAGAAGGUGGGCAUUUCAAGAAAAUUUAUGGAGAAAAUCUUGGUUGAUAGUAAGUUUGACUAGGCUUGCCUUGAUGCGGUAGGAGCUUCUGGUGGAGUUUUUGACAGUGUGGCAUUCGUCUGUGUUUCUUCAAUCUGAAAUUGUAUUGGGUUCUUGUUUUGUAUGGUGAAAGGCAAAUUUCUAGAUGUCCUUGAUUUCUGCUUUCUGUUUAAUAGUUAUACCCCAAACGAUUUGGCCUCUAGAAAAUUGGUUUCCGCAGAACUUCAUUAUUUAGUUGUGGGUUGUUCCGGAUUAUGCUGUAUAGGUGGGGAUUUUAAUGCGGUCAGUGAACAACAAGAGCGUAAAGGGUGUGUAGAGGACUUAGUAAGCUGUUCAAAUUUUAAUUCUUUCAUUGCUAACUGUGAUUUGCAAGACUUUCCUAUUAUGGGUAGAAGCGACACUUGGGCAAAUGCAGCUGUUAACAAGAUGAGUAGGAUCGACAGGUUUCUAGUAUGUAAUGGUUGGCUAGAAAAUUGGGCAGGCUUUCAAGUGUUGGGUCUAAAUAGAAUCUGUUCAGAUCAUUGCCCUAUCCUUUUUGGUUCUGAUUUGUCUAACUGGGGACUGAAACCUUUUCGCUUCUUCAGUUUCUGGUGCGACCAAAAGAGUUUCCCAAAAGUCGUUAAAGAUUACUAGAAUCAAAAUAUAUUUCGGGGAUUUAAUGGUUUUAUUUAUGAGUAAGCUUCGAAUUCUGAAGAAAGAACUAAAGUCUUGGAAUCGAUUAGUGGUUGGGAUUUUGAAUGAGGAAAAAUUGAAAUGCAUUGGGGAUUUAGCUACUCUUGCUUUGAAGGCAAAAAUUAAUAAUCUUAGUAACGAUGAAGUAUCUUUGAGAAGAUCUUUGUUCUCAAAACUGUUAGAGAUUCAAAGAGCUAAGAGAGUAUGUUAAGGCAGAAAGCUAGGGUGAAGUGGCUGAAAGAAGGGGAUGCUAAUACUAAAUACUACCAUGCAAUAGUUAAUAAGAGAGUAGCAAAUAAUCAAAUAGCGAUUCUAAAUUUUUAAUGUUAGGUUUCGGGAGUGGCAGAUGUAAGAAAUGUAGUUCAACAUCACUUCUCUAACAUGUUUGCAGCAGACACAUCAAUAAGACCCUCUCUGAGAUGUGAAACAGUCAGAAAAUUAUCAGAGUCAGAGAGGCUUCGUUUAGAAGUGCCUUUUUCUGGAAAAGAAAUAAAGGAAGCUGUUUGGAGUUGCGGUUUAUCCAAGUCUCCUAGGUCGGAUGGGUACACAAUAAAGUUCUACAAAAAUUGCUGGGAAACAAUCAAAGAAGAUCUUUUUAAAUUUUUUCAAGACUUUUAUGAUGAUGGAAAGUUAUCUAAAUGAAUUCAAGUUUUAUAAUAUUGAUCCCAAAGAUUUCGUCUCCUUAAUGUCUGUUCGAUUAUAGGCUGAUUUCCCUUAUUGGAAGCGUCUAUAAGGUGGUAACAAAACUUCUCCUUUUAAGGAUGAGGCGGGUUAUGAAUUCUAUCAUUGGGGAGAACCAAACUGCUUUCGUGGGGGGUCGUCAAAUAAUAGAUGGUAUCUUAAUAUGCACUGAAUUAAUUCAUGACUAAAAGAGAAGGAAAAUUAAGUCAGUUUUUUUCAAGGCCAAUUUUCAGAAGGCUUAGGAUUUGGUGAACUGGAACUUUCUACUGUCUAUGAUGGAUAAAUUGGCUUUUGGUGAAAGAUGGAGAAGUUGGAUAAAGGAGUGCUUAGAGAUUUCCAGAUUAUCGAUUUUGGUAAAUGGGUGUCCUAUGAAGGAAUUUACUAUGUGUAGGGAUCUCAAACAAGGAGACUUUUUUUCACCUUUACUUUUUCUUAUUGUGGUUGAAGGUCUUAAUAUUCUUAUGAGAAAUUCGAUUGAAAAACGUUUUUUUUUCAAGCGUAAAAGUGGGGGAAGACGAGGUAAUAGUUUCCCACCUUCAAUUUGCAGAUGACUCGGUGAUUUUUAAUGCUGCAGAUAAGGGCCAAAUUUGCAAUUUAAGGAGAAUUCUUGUAUGCUUUCAAUUCUUAUCAAGGGUAAAAAUUAACUUCAGCAAGAGUAAACUAUUUAGGGUGAAGAUUUUUGAACUUGAAUUGAUAACCUUGCAACCACUUUGGGGUGCAUCCCGGAUCUCUUGCCUACAUCAUAUUUGGGUAUUCAAUUGGUAGCAGUCGUAGAAACUUGCUUCUUGGCGUGCAGUGAUUCAGAAGUUUGAAUGAAGAUUGUUGUUGUGGAAAGCAAGAAAUUUUUCUUUCGGAGGAAGAAUAGCUUUAAUCAAAUUAGUGUUAUCUUCCCUACCCUUGUAUUACAUGUCUAUUUUCAAAGCUCCUUUUUCUAUCAUCAAAAGAAUUGCAUCGAUCCAGAGAAGGUUUUUAAGGGGUAAAGGGCUAGAGAAUGAGAGGCCUUUAAACUAGGUGGCGAUGAGUUCUAUUUGUUGUAGCAAGGCUUUUGGUGGAAUUGGUGUUCCUAAUUUUAAAUGUAAUAACAUUUCUCUUUUGGGAAAAUGGUGGUGGAGGUUUAAAUCGGGAAAUGGUUUUUUAGGAAACACAUUUUAAUUUCAAAGUAUGGUAAUGAACGAUUGUGGAAUACAAAUUUGGGGUCAGAGUACUGGAAAAAAUUAUCUCCAGUUUGGUGAGAUAUAGCUUUUGUUGUUAUCUCUUCCUCUCUAAAAACCAUUUCUAAGGGAGGAUUCAGAUGGAUUUUAGAAAAUAAUAAUUGUAUUAAUUUUUGUUUGGUCUUUGGAUUGAUAAUGUUCCUCUCUCUUCGUUGUUCCCAAACUCUUCAGAUUAGCAAAAAAAUAAAAGGAGUAAGAUCUGUGAUUGUGGUUUCUUUGCUACUGGUAGAUGGAUUUGGCAAGUAGCAUAGCUGCGUGAUUUUAGAAGUUUUCAAGAAGAGUACUAGGCUCAGUUGAUCCAGAAUUAGAUGGGCUGGCAGUUAUUCUAGAUAUGGAAGAUGAGUAAUCUGGACAUUCAACAAGCAAGGAGUGUGUUUGUCCUUUUACAAUGGGGAAAUUGAAUCAGUUGUGUCCUCUUAUCUUGUUCUUUUGCAAGGAGUGUGUGGAUGGGUGUGCUGAGAUGGUGGGAUGUUCUGUGUGUUCUGCCAUUUUCCUUGGCAGACUUGAGCUGGCAGUGGGAGAGUAUUGUUUUGGUUAAAGGGUGUUGUGUUAUAUGGAAUUCUAUUAUGCUUUUAAUUUUGUGGUAUAUUUGGAUAGCUAGAAACAAAGUUGUCUUCAGUGAUCUAAGGCAAAAUUUGGAACAGGUUGUCGAUAUGCUUAAAUUCAGAAGCUUUGAGUUGUUAAUGGCUAAGUUUACUUCUAUUGGUCUCAGUGACUACUUUUUGUUCCCAAUUGAAGUUUGCAGAUCGGAGUUCAGUGGGUAUCACAACUGCUAGUCUAGGAAAGUAUGUGUUUUGGGGAGCGCCGGUUAAAGGAUGGCUGAAGUUCAACACUGACGGUUCUUCCUCUGGUAAGUUGCCUGCAGGGGUAGGAGGUGUGUUAAGGGACAACAAUGGAUUAGUUAAUGUAUUUUUUAUUAUUCAGUCGGUAUAUUGGAUUCAAAUGAGGCUGAUUACUUGCUAUUGUUUCAGCUAUUUAGAUUUUUUUGAAUUCAAAUGUUAAACAUUUUCCUUUGAUUGUGGAAUCGGACACUAAAAACACUUUAUGUUGGAUUAGUCAGAAGCUCAAGCGCUCAUGGUAUUGGUGGGAGAAGCUUAACAAGUUUGAUCAGAUUUUGUCUCAUCUCAAUAAGGUUCAAUUUGUUUUCGUCUUGAGAAAUGAUAACCAUUUUGCAGAUUCUUUAGCUAAGAAAAGGGUUAGUGCUACAAA